rnacentral:rRNA from 1 species
GGGUUGUGAGGUUAAGCGACUAAGCGUACACGGUGGAUGCCCUGGCAGUCAGAGGCGAUGAAGGACGUGCUAAUCUGCGAUAAGCGUCGGUAAGGUGAUAUGAACCGUUAUAACCGGCGAUUUCCGAAUGGGGAAACCCAGUGUGUUUCGACACACUAUCAUUAACUGAAUCCAUAGGUUAAUGAGGCGAACCGGGGGAACUGAAACAUCUAAGUACCCCGAGGAAAAGAAAUCAACCGAGAUUCCCCCAGUAGCGGCGAGCGAACGGGGAGCAGCCCAGAGCCUGAAUCAGUGUGUGUGUUAGUGGAAGCGUCUGGAAAGGCGCGCGAUACAGGGUGACAGCCCCGUACACAAAAAUGCACAUGCUGUGAGCUCGAUGAGUAGGGCGGGACACGUGGUAUCCUGUCUGAAUAUGGGGGGACCAUCCUCCAAGGCUAAAUACUCCUGACUGACCGAUAGUGAACCAGUACCGUGAGGGAAAGGCGAAAAGAACCCCGGCGAGGGGAGUGAAAAAGAACCUGAAACCGUGUACGUACAAGCAGUGGGAGCACGCUUAGGCGUGUGACUGCGUACCUUUUGUAUAAUGGGUCAGCGACUUAUAUUCUGUAGCAAGGUUAACCGAAUAGGGGAGCCGAAGGGAAACCGAGUCUUAACUGGGCGUUAAGUUGCAGGGUAUAGACCCGAAACCCGGUGAUCUAGCCAUGGGCAGGUUGAAGGUUGGGUAACACUAACUGGAGGACCGAACCGACUAAUGUUGAAAAAUUAGCGGAUGACUUGUGGCUGGGGGUGAAAGGCCAAUCAAACCGGGAGAUAGCUGGUUCUCCCCGAAAGCUAUUUAGGUAGCGCCUCGUGAAUUCAUCUCCGGGGGUAGAGCACUGUUUCGGCAAGGGGGUCAUCCCGACUUACCAACCCGAUGCAAACUGCGAAUACCGGAGAAUGUUAUCACGGGAGACACACGGCGGGUGCUAACGUCCGUCGUGAAGAGGGAAACAACCCAGACCGCCAGCUAAGGUCCCAAAGUCAUGGUUAAGUGGGAAACGAUGUGGGAAGGCCCAGACAGCCAGGAUGUUGGCUUAGAAGCAGCCAUCAUUUAAAGAAAGCGUAAUAGCUCACUGGUCGAGUCGGCCUGCGCGGAAGAUGUAACGGGGCUAAACCAUGCACCGAAGCUGCGGCAGCGACACUAUGUGUUGUUGGGUAGGGGAGCGUUCUGUAAGCCUGUGAAGGUGUGCUGUGAGGCAUGCUGGAGGUAUCAGAAGUGCGAAUGCUGACAUAAGUAACGAUAAAGCGGGUGAAAAGCCCGCUCGCCGGAAGACCAAGGGUUCCUGUCCAACGUUAAUCGGGGCAGGGUGAGUCGACCCCUAAGGCGAGGCCGAAAGGCGUAGUCGAUGGGAAACAGGUUAAUAUUCCUGUACUUGGUGUUACUGCGAAGGGGGGACGGAGAAGGCUAUGUUGGCCGGGCGACGGUUGUCCCGGUUUAAGCGUGUAGGCUGGUUUUCCAGGCAAAUCCGGAAAAUCAAGGCUGAGGCGUGAUGACGAGGCACUACGGUGCUGAAGCAACAAAUGCCCUGCUUCCAGGAAAAGCCUCUAAGCAUCAGGUAACAUCAAAUCGUACCCCAAACCGACACAGGUGGUCAGGUAGAGAAUACCAAGGCGCUUGAGAGAACUCGGGUGAAGGAACUAGGCAAAAUGGUGCCGUAACUUCGGGAGAAGGCACGCUGAUAUGUAGGUGAAGCGACUUGCUCGUGGAGCUGAAAUCAGUCGAAGAUACCAGCUGGCUGCAACUGUUUAUUAAAAACACAGCACUGUGCAAACACGAAAGUGGACGUAUACGGUGUGACGCCUGCCCGGUGCCGGAAGGUUAAUUGAUGGGGUCAGCGCAAGCGAAGCUCUUGAUCGAAGCCCCGGUAAACGGCGGCCGUAACUAUAACGGUCCUAAGGUAGCGAAAUUCCUUGUCGGGUAAGUUCCGACCUGCACGAAUGGCGUAAUGAUGGCCAGGCUGUCUCCACCCGAGACUCAGUGAAAUUGAACUCGCUGUGAAGAUGCAGUGUACCCGCGGCAAGACGGAAAGACCCCGUGAACCUUUACUAUAGCUUGACACUGAACAUUGAGCCUUGAUGUGUAGGAUAGGUGGGAGGCUUUGAAGUGUGGACGCCAGUCUGCAUGGAGCCGACCUUGAAAUACCACCCUUUAAUGUUUGAUGUUCUAACGUUGACCCGUAAUCCGGGUUGCGGACAGUGUCUGGUGGGUAGUUUGACUGGGGCGGUCUCCUCCUAAAGAGUAACGGAGGAGCACGAAGGUUGGCUAAUCCUGGUCGGACAUCAGGAGGUUAGUGCAAUGGCAUAAGCCAGCUUGACUGCGAGCGUGACGGCGCGAGCAGGUGCGAAAGCAGGUCAUAGUGAUCCGGUGGUUCUGAAUGGAAGGGCCAUCGCUCAACGGAUAAAAGGUACUCCGGGGAUAACAGGCUGAUACCGCCCAAGAGUUCAUAUCGACGGCGGUGUUUGGCACCUCGAUGUCGGCUCAUCACAUCCUGGGGCUGAAGUAGGUCCCAAGGGUAUGGCUGUUCGCCAUUUAAAGUGGUACGCGAGCUGGGUUUAGAACGUCGUGAGACAGUUCGGUCCCUAUCUGCCGUGGGCGCUGGAGAACUGAGGGGGGCUGCUCCUAGUACGAGAGGACCGGAGUGGACGCAUCACUGGUGUUCGGGUUGUCAUGCCAAUGGCACUGCCCGGUAGCUAAAUGCGGAAGAGAUAAGUGCUGAAAGCAUCUAAGCACGAAACUUGCCCCGAGAUGAGUUCUCCCUGAC